ACUUAGCGGCGGACGGGUGAGUAACGCGUGGGCAACCUGCCUUACACAGGGGGAUAACAAUUAGAAAUGAUUGCUAAUACCGCAUAAGACCCCAGUACCGCAUGGUACAGAGGUAAAAACUGAGGUGGUGUAAGAUGGGCCCGCGUCUGAUUAGGUAGUUGGUGGGGUAGAAGCCUACCAAGCCGACGAUCAGUAGCCGACCUGAGAGGGCGACCGGCCACAUUGGGACUGAGACACGGCCCAAACUCCUACGGAAGGCAGCAG
rnacentral:rRNA from 1 species